UGGGGAAUAUUGGACAAUGGGCGAAAGCCUGAUCCAGCCAUGCCGCGUGUGUGAAGAAGGCCUUUUGGUUGUAAAGCACUUUAAGUGGGGAGGAAAAGCUUAUGGUUAAUACCCAUAAGCCCUGACGUUACCCACAGGAUAAGCACCGGCUAACUCUGUGCCAGCAGCCGCGGUAAUACAGAGGGUGCAAGCGUUAAUCGGAAUUACUGGGCGUAAAGCGCGCGUAGGUGGUUAUUUAAGUCAGAUGUGAAAGCCCCGGGCUUAACCUGGGAACUGCAUCUGAUACUGGAUAACUAGAGUAGGUGAGAGGGGAGUAGAAUUCCAGGUGUAGCGGUGAAAUGCGUAGAGAUCUGGAGGAAUACCGAUGGCGAAGGCAGCUCCCUGGCAUCAUACUGACACUGAGGUGCGAAAGCGUGGGUAGCAAACAGGAUUAGAUACCCUGGUAGUCCACGCCGUAAACGAUGUCUACCAGUCGUUGGGUCUUUUAAAGACUUAGUGACGCAGUUAACGCAAUAAGUAGACCGCCUGGGGAGUACGGCCGCAAGGUUA
rnacentral:rRNA from 1 species